CUUCUAAAUCUAAUCUCUAACUAACUCCCUCGAUGUUCACAAAUUUUAUUACACUCUAACUGAAUUCAUAAUAGAAUUUUCUAAUCCCCAAGAAUUCUAUCUGCCUAUAUAAUCAUUCAAUGAUCAUUCAAUCAUCAUCUUCGUCAUUCAUUCAAUUGAUCAAAAUCAUUUCAACACACUCACAUCUUUAUCUCUCUAAAAAAAUCACGAUUUUCAGAGCUCUCUCAU
rnacentral:lncRNA from 1 species